CAAAGUUCAUUUGGGAAGGAUUAGUGCCGGAAGAUGCAGCGAAAAUCAUUAAGUGUUAAUAGAAAAGUGUUUAAGUAAAUCGUGAAAGAUGUCAACGCAGGCGUAAAUGCAGUAUGUUUUGUUACAUUAUCUACGGCUAUUUCAUUACCAAAGCUCCUGAUACCAGAUCAAAGCAGGUGAAUCUGGCUAGAAGUGAAGAUCAAAGCAGAUGAAACAGAGUUGCCAUUUAACAUAAAAUAUCUUCGUGAUCUGCAAACGCAUCAAACAGCAAGUGUUUCUCUUCCAACAGCACGCACCAUCGGUUGAUCAAGCAGCCAACGAUUUGAUCGUCAGUACGCGCCAUCAAGAAUUGAUAUUUUGCCAAAUAGUACUGUGAAUAAAAAAA